UACGUAGGGGGCUAGCGUUGUCCGGAUUUAUUGGGCGUAAAGAGCGUGUAGGCGGCCAGGUAGGUCCGUUGUGAAAACUCGAGGCUCAACCUCGAGACGUCGGCGGAAACCCUCUGGCUAGAGUCCGGAAGAGGAGAGUGGAAUUCCGGGUGUAGCGGUGGAAUGCGUAGAGAUCCGGAAGAACACCAGUGGCGAAGGCGGCCUGCUGGGCAGUUGCUGACGCUGAGGCGCGACAGCGUGGGGAGCAAACAGG
rnacentral:rRNA from 1 species